UGGGGAAUUUUGGACAAUGGGCGCAAGCCUGAUCCAGCAAUGCCGCGUGCAGGAUGAAGGCCUUCGGGUUGUAAACUGCUUUUGUACGGAACGAAAAAGCUCUCUCUAAUACAGGGGGUGAAUGACGGUACCGUAAGAAUAAGCACCGGCUAACUACGUGCCAGCAGCCGCGGUAAUACGUAGGGUGCAAGCGUUAAUCGGAAUUACUGGGCGUAAAGCGUGCGCAGGCGGUUUUGUAAGACAGAGGUGAAAUCCCCGGGCUCAACCUGGGAACUGCCUUUGUGACUGCAAAGCUGGAGUGCGGCAGAGGGGGAUGGAAUUCCGCGUGUAGCAGUGAAAUGCGUAGAUAUGCGGAGGAACACCGAUGGCGAAGGCAAUCCCCUGGGCCUGCACUGACGCUCAUGCACGAAAGCGUGGGGAGCAAAC
rnacentral:rRNA from 1 species